CAGGAGGGGGAAACACAAAAUAACGAUUUGUUUCAGGUGUAUUUGUAAUCGUGGGAAUGCCUGUAUUUAAUGACUUCACCCCUUGUGCUGCAGAAAGAAAUAAAGUGGCAGUGUUAACUUGUCUGCAGGCUGGCUGCUGUCCUAAUUAAAUACAGCCACAUCUACUCAUUCAUGACUUAGCGAAUAAUGUGACGCUGCAGCAGCUGAUCCCAUAAAGCUCCAUCGGUCGAACGAAUCGUUCAAUCAAAACCCACGAACCGGAAAUUAGCCGAUCCAGGAGCUGCCGGUGUUGAAUGGGGGGACUGAAUGAAUCCAGACACUGACAGAUCCCAGAGCUCACUUUUAUUUCCACCAACCACAGCUCCAACAGUCAGAGUAACAAAAAAUGACCGUAAAGCAGAUUUACUGCCGGCGAGAAGCGUCUCUGCAGCUCCCUCGAAGCUCAUUUCGAUCCACGGAGCGAGGAGGGGAGCAGAGAGCUGUCUGCAGCAGCCCAAGUAAGAGCACAUCACAUCUCUGAGGUCGUUCAGAAAAAAAUAAAAAUAAAAGGGGGGUGGGGGGAAUGGGUGGAAUAAGAGUCAAGGUGAGAAAAUCCCUCAGAGCCUCCAGUGGCACAUAUAUUUUAUUUUUUCCACAAGGAACACACAAACAUGCAACAAGGUCAUCACAAUUCAAUAAAGACUGAUUGAUUAAGAAGCCCUUUAUAGUUUAAUCAGUGUCUCCCAAUAGCUUGCAUUUUUGUUAAUGUCACACUGCUGGAGGUUAAAUCGAUUAACAAUAAGUGACCGUUUAAAAUAUUUAAUGAAAUGACCACCUAAAUGCAUUAAAAAACAAACAAACAGAAAAACUUUAAAUACCAUAUUGAGUCUGUAGACGCCUGUUGCUGCCUCCAACAGGUUCAUCUCAAUAAACCAGAAUAUCAUCAAAAUGUUAUUUCCAUAGAUCUAUUGAAAAAGUAAAUAAAAAAAAAACAUUGUAUAGAUUGUGUUGUGUGGAAAAUGUUGUGUAAUGGCCAAAGCGAUCGUGGGAAAACUGCUGACGGUUGUCCAGCAGUCAAUCGCUGAUAUGUUUCCAAAGGAAGGGAAACCACAAAAGUUUACAGUUUGAGUCCAAGCACACUGACAGAGAGUUAAGUGUAAGGGAAAAAGUGUGGUGCAGAAAGGGGCGGAUAAGCAACAGGGAUCACUGCUAAAGAAAACUGGCUUUUCACAUAACGCCGCAUGUUAAUGGAAGGUUCAGUAGAAGGAAAAAGUGUAGAAGGUAGUUGGUUCUUAUACACAAGUGUGUUCCUGGAAAGUUAAGGGGAAGGAAAAACGUAAAAGUGAAUAAGCAACAGUAUGUAACUGCCUCUAUACAAAACGCUGUAUAAAAGUGUGUUAAUGAAAAAUGUAGUGGAGGAAAAACCAGCUUCUUUAGCAGCGACUUUUGUGUCAAAGACUGACCUGCUGGUCAACUGUGGAAUAAGCCGUCUGCUUGCUGCGUAAGCGACAAAAUCUUUAUGUUAUAGAUUUAUUUAUUUUUUUUUUGCCUUUUGCAAUGUUCACAUUUAUUUUCUGACAAACUGAAUUUUAGUCUUUCAUAAGUUGUGAGCUACAACAAAGAAAACAAACAGAAGUACGUAACGAUUAAAAUACGUCAGAAUGAACCUAUAGAGACAAAAGUCUCACUUGGCGAAUUAAAUAAUUGAAAUAAAAGUACUUUUGAUUAUAUUUUUUUAUUUAUACAGAUGUGCCUGUAAAUCAAAACCAAUAAAGGCGAUAAGAUCUUUCUAACCUACUAAAGAAUUCAAUAAAUCAAUCUCUUUUUUUUUUUUUUUCCCCAGAAGACACUAUGAUGUUUUCAUAGACAGAACUAUGCAUUGUCAAUACACUUACAGUUUGGCUGACAUGCACCUCUAGGAGAACAUUACUGCAUCUUGAAAGGACAUGAACGUAAGCUUUGUUUACUGGAGACACACACACACACAGACACACGCACACACACAUGGGAACAAAAACCCAAAACAUUUCCACAGUUUUCAGCAGACACUACAAGAGAGUACAGCUGUAAAUAUAUUAUGUAAUAAUAGCUCUGACCACUUAUUCCGCCUCUAAUCAAAUGCAAAAGUAUGAAGUGAAUAAACAGAACGAAGCAGUAAUGUUACAUAAGAUUCCUUUUGGAGACGAUCAUUAAAAAAUACAUAAAAAUAUAUGUUUUCAAAUACAUCGCAUAUUAUCGUCCUCAGACUGAAACCUCCCCCCUUUUGCUCACAAACCAGGAGGUAGGCAAACUAUAGAGGAAAUAUCCGCUGCCAUAUAAACCAGUCCUGCUACAGACAAGCUGUGCACUAGAGCUUAAAAAUAGGAAAUUGCAUAAAAGCCUUCUCUCUCUUUAUAUUCAGGCAGAUCAUUUUCUCUCCGUUACCGAAACUUCAUCCGACAUCGAAAGAACGAAGGAAAAAAAUAAAAAAUAAAAUCCCUGAUUCACAGCUUUCUCUCCUGCUGUCCCGUUUAUUUAUUUAUCUUUUUUUUUUUUUUUUUUUUUUUUUUUUUUUUAAGAGUGUCAGGAAGGUGCGAAGGAGGAAACCCCUGGAAAAGGAACCGUUUUUAACAUCUGGGUCAAACAUUGUACUGUAAUUCUUCAGAAGUUUUUUUUGUUGUUGUUGUUUAAAACAGAUAACAUACAAAAAAAAUUACAGGACAAUUUAGAUGAUAAAUACCUUUUCAAACAGCUGAUGUCUUUGGUUCUGGGGACCGUGGUUACAGCUUUUGUUCUUGCUAUGAGCCAACAUGCUUGUUUUCCAGUUAAUAACUUGGCAAUGGGUUCCACUGCACUCAUGUUGCACACACACACACAGUUAAGGAUAACUCCACAGACACAAGCCUUUUAUUUCAGCUUGUUGCCUACAGUAAGGGUGCGUUACCCAGCCGCUGGUGACUGACGGUGCUGCAGACAUUUACAGAGGAACGGAGCUUUUCUGUGCUUUUGUCCUCCGUUUAAUUUACAUUUAAUGUGGAAGUUUAGAACAGCUUGUCUUGGUAGGUUACCAACUUAUCAUUAUACAUAUAUUUUAACCUGGUUUAGGUUCCACUCAUCAAGUGACGAAAUUUAACACAUUCUUUUGUGUCAUGCAAUCCAAAACUAUCCUCAGAUAUCCUGUUUUUGUGGAAUUGCAAAUGUGCACAACUUUGUACCCUGCACACUUAUUGGUAGCCCUGGUAAAUAUGUGUUAAAACUCUUGAAUUCAUCUUUCAUUGGGACACCCUGCCCCUUAUCAACCAAGUGUCAAGGGCAAAAGAUAAACCUGUAGAUUCUUACUGACAAAACUCACACUGAGAUCACUUGUUGCAGUUCCAGUAUUUUUUUUUCUUUCAGCUACUUAUGAUUAAUAUGCUGCAGCCCAACUGGAAAGGUAUGUUCUCUUGUCUUUCCCAUUUAAGGUGUGGCUAAGAGCAUAUUGGCCUCUGCAUCAUAUUGGCUAACUAUAAUUUACCUGAGCAGAUCGGAGUAAGAUGUGUUAAAGAAAUAAAAACGAUUGUGUUAAUUCAUCAUAACGAAUUGUAAGGAGUUCCAAUAAUUGUGGUACCUGUAAUUUUGAGGAAAAAAUAAAUACAUAAAAAAAAAUAAAGCAAAUUUCUCUUAAAGUGUAAUUUUAUCUCGACUAAAAAAAAACUAUACUUUUGUUUUUAUUUUUAUUUUCCAUACCACAUCUUUACCCAGGGAACCAAAGAAAGAGGGAGGAGAUACACUUCCGAACACUAUCAGCAUGUGUUGGUUUAUUUUACCAUUAUUUGACACCAAUUGAAAUAUUCCUACUUCCACGCAAAUGUUUUUUGUUUUUGUGUGUUUGUCCAAUAUGACCAGAUCUUUAACUUGUAAGAAAUAUGUCAAGCAUUUUUUGGGGGUUUGGGGUAUCAUGUUGGAUUGAGUGUUAAAUUAUCAGACUGGGAAUUCCUUUCCUACUGACAUUAUUGCAAACGACCAAUGACGACUGAUGGUAAAGAUGAUUGUUUUUAUGGUCUUUGAUUUGGUUUACGUGCUGGUCUAAUGUUUCAUUUUUGCUAAAACCACAUCUUACAUUUAUAUCUGCAAUUUCACCUUCAGACUGCACAGAAAGGAUUUCAAGUUCUGGGCAGGUAAGAAGAAGAAGAGGAAAAGUGGCCUAACUCGUUGGGGAAAAAAAA